UACGGAGGGGGCUAGCGUUGUUCGGAAUUACUGGGCGUAAAGCGCACGUAGGCGGCUUUGUAAGUUAGAGGUGAAAGCCCGGGGCUCAACUCCGGAAUUGCCUUUAAGACUGCAUCGCUAGAAUUGUGGAGAGGUAAGUGGAAUUCCGAGUGUAGAGGUGAAAUUCGUAGAUAUUCGGAAGAACACCAGUGGCGAAGGCGACUUACUGGACACAUAUUGACGCUGAGGUGCGAAAGCUAGGGGAGCAAACGGG
rnacentral:rRNA from 1 species